rnacentral:tRNA from 1 species
GGGCCCGUAGCUUAGUCCGGUUAGAGCGCCCGACCGAUGACCGGGUGGUCGAGGGUUCAAAUCCCUCCGGGCCCACCA